GUGAGUGAGUGAGUGAGUGAGUGAGUGAGUGAGUGAGUGAAGAGAAGAGAGAGAGAGCGAGAGGGGGAAGAGACAAGCCAGCGGAGGGAGCAGAGACAAAGCAUGCUGACGGAGGAAGUGAAGUGUGCUCUGCAGCAUGUGGACCAUGUGCUCAGCAGAUAACUGCCGAGUGUCGAGCCCACGGAAGGUGUCUGCAACCCUGGGCUCUCUGCUGCACAGCUGUCGGUGUUUGGAGCAGCAAGGAGCAGAGGAAGGAGCCUCGACCCUGGAGACAGACAACCACAAAAACCUGUCUUUCAGAACCUGAAAUCGUCAAGAUGAUGAUGAUUGAUAAGGUGGAGAUGAUUGACAUUGGUCAUCCAUCCUUCUACAGGUGUCAGAGCAGUCCUGAGUGUACCAAGCAACGGUCCCUAGGAUGACCAUGCUCACAACAGCACUGUGCAGUCAGCCACCACGAUGACCUUCAACUACCACAAGACAUUUGCUAUCCUAGUUCUAACAUCUGUCUACAGAAUGGACCCAAUGAUCAUAUGAGGAUGAAGACUAUGAUGAAGGCAAUGCAAAUGCAUCAACGUGGAUCCUUUAUCAAUAUCUGCAGCCCAUUCCCUCUAUCCCCCCCCCCUGUAUUUGUGU